rnacentral:rRNA from 1 species
UACGGGGGGGGCAAGCGUUGUUCGGAAUUACUGGGCGUAAAGCGCGCGUAGGCGGCUUUUCAAGUCAGACGUGAAAGCCCCAGGCUUAACCUGGGAAUUGCGUUUGAUACUGUUAGGCUAGAGUGUGGAAGGGGCUACUGGAAUUCCGUGUGUAGCGGUGAAAUGCGUAGAUAUCAGGAGGAACACCGGUGGCGAAGGCGGGUCUCUGGGCAGUAACUGACGCUGAGGAGCGAAAGCGUGGGGAGCGAACAGG